rnacentral:rRNA from 1 species
AUUGAACGCUGGCGGCAGGCUUAACACAUGCAAGUCGGGCGAGCGGCGGACGGGUGAGUAAUGUAUGGGAAUCUAGCUUAUGGAGGGGGAUAACUACGGGAAACUGUAGCUAAUACCGCGUACCAUAGGAUGAGCCCAAGUGGGAUUAGGUAGUUGGUGGGGUAAUGGCUCACCAAGACGACGAUCCCUAGCUGGUCUGAGAGGAUUACCAGCCACACUGGGACUGAGACACGGCCCAGACUCCUACGGGAGGCAGCAGUGGGGAAUAUUGCGCAAUGGGGGCAAGCCUGACGCAGCCAUGCCGCGUGAAUGAAGAAGGCCUUAGGGUUGUAAAGUACUUUCAGCGGGGAGGCGUUACCCGCAGAAGAAGCACCGGCUAACUCCGUGCCAGCAGCCGCGGUAAUUC